UAGCCCGGCAUGACUCGGCCGCCUCUUAUCCUCCUGCCGCUGUCCGCCUGCGAGAGGGCUUGGCCUCGAGCCGCGGCACAGGAGGUUCAGGCUGGCCAGCAAGAGGAGUUUCUGCACAGACUGGGUGGUUCGACAUUGGAAUGCGCUGCCCGGGGAGGCGGUGCAGUCACCGUCCCUGGAGGUGGCACUCGGUGCCGCGGUCUGACUGACCCAGUGCGCGGUCAUAGGUUGGACUCGGUGAUCCAGAGGUCUUUCCCAACCCGACUGAUUCUAUUAUUCUGUUAAGUAUUCCUGAUUUGUGGAGUGUACGUGAGUUAAAGCAUCUCCACCCAUCGCUUUCCACCCCGGGUUCAUGGCCACAUUCGGGUCCGGGGAGGUGCCGGGGCCCUGGGAAGCACGCAGGUGCCAGAGGCCAAGCCUCAGCUAGGCUGUGAUUUCUCUCUUUGUCAGCUAUUUUCCCUUUUUUUUCCUGCAGACACUUCCCGGCAGUGCUGGGGCUUCCCUGUCCACUGUGGUGACGCCAAUUUUGGUACAUACCACAGUGACCCUGCCUGCCGUAAAUACCCCCCAGCUCCCUGCAGCUCAGCUCUGCUAUGAUGUCACAUGCAACACCUGCGAGCCAAACACAACCUAGUGCCUGAUGUCACCAUCUCAGCCAGGGGCUCAGCAUCUUCCAGGAACCCAGGGCUGCAUCACAAAGGAACAGCGGGACAGAGGCACUGAACCCGAAGCAUUGUCUGGAUUUAUGUCUCAUAAAUAAACUGCCUCGUAAAUAUGCCUUGUAAAUAAAAUAAAUACAGUAGUAGUGAUUUCUUUUGGUUUCAUCAACUGAGAAGUUUACACCAGUGCAAGACGCUGCCAAAAGUACUGGUCUUGUCCCCCGCCUUACUCCAGCCCUUCUCCCCAUCCCAGUCUUGGCUCAGCAUCGGCAGUUUUUGGCUGGGAGAGUUGGCUUUUGGAUGGGCUCAUUCCUGGCUUGCAGCCACUUCAUUUAUUGCCAGUGAACUGACUUGUUUGAGCUGAGAAGGAUCAACAGAUAAAAGAAAUCUGUGUAUUUGUGGGGGAAAGACAGGGCAAAUGCCAAGGAAAUAUGGCUGGGAGGCAGCUGGAAAGCCAAGUCUGAGUUUUGGCGGCAAAGGGCAGUGAGUGACUGGCAGCAGAGCAGUAAAAGGCCGCCCCGGGCCCUUGGGUGGGACACACGGGGCACGGCCGCACCUGAGCCCUUCCUGCUCCUGUUUGUCCAGCGAGUGCUGGGAUGUGCCCGACACAUUCCCGGCUGCACCUGAGCCCUUCCUGCUCCUGUUUGUCCAGCGAGUGCUGGGAUGUGCCCGACACAUUCCCGGCUGCACCU